UUAUAAAGGAUGGAAGGCUGAGUCAACCUUGGGCCUGGUGGGACUUGAACCUGCAGUAAUUUUUAAUCUGCAAAAGGGUGUUUCUCCCAUUUCCUCAUUCUUUUAACAACACCGUAUUCAUUUUUACUGGCCUAUGACUUUAAUAAACCGUUGUUUGGUUUGAUUAGAUCCGUAAAGAUUUUUCAGGCAACGUUUCCUAAUCGCUUCCCUGCAUGCCAAGGUGAGGAGAAAGGCGUCGUGGGUACUCGAGCAGGGCUUUUCUUUCGCAGCUAAAGGAGCACUUAAGUUUGUGAAAUUCCUUCCUAAAAUUUUUGAGGGGAAUCUAACCCGAAGUGAAUUUCACAUAAUUCUACCACCGGUUCGCCGUGAACCGGCUGAAUGCCGCCACUGAAUCUAACAGAGAGGAGAAAGAUUGAACAGCCGAAUUUUAAGAACCGAGGAUCUUGGUAUAUUCCCUGCUUUGCCCAAACAAAAGCUAAUUUUUAAAACACACACACACACACACCUAUCUAUACACAUCCAAGGUGUUCUUGUGUUAUAAAACCAAGGUUGACUUAGCUUUAACCUGAUUUCGAGGAUAUUUCUCAUCGCUUUUGGACUCCAUAAACUUUGAAAGUAUUUAUGAUGGGCCGUAAUUUCGUACGUUUCCUUCAAAAACAAAAUAAAAAUAAAAAUAAAUCAAGCCCAAAUCCUAUCCUGCCUUGGCUAAACGAGAUCAUGGCCAUUCUGCAAAAAUGCCCACAACACACUUCAGGCCUCUGGUGGCUCAGACUGUUAAGACAGUCUGUUAUUAACAGCAGCUGCUUGCAAUUACUGCAGGUUCAAGCCCCACCAGGCCCAAGGUUGACUCAGCCUUCCAUCCUUUAUAAGGUAGGUAAAAUGAGGACCCAGAUUGUUGGGGGCAAUAAAGUUGACUUUGUAUAUAAUAUACAAAUGGAUGAAGACUAUUGCUUAACAUAGUGUAAGCCGCCCUGAGUCUUCGGAGAAGGGCGGGAUAUAAAUGCAAAUUUAAAAAAAAUGGGUUUUUUCCUUUUUAGACUGUCGGACCAAAUGUACCAGAUUGGUACGUUGCAAGAAGGGGUGGGUUUAUUUUAACUGUGGUUAAAUACGUCAAUUAACUGAGUUCAAGCCACACACGCCCUCAUAAACCAGGGUAUAAAAACCACAGAUUCAUGCCAAACUCUUGGCCAUAAACGAUGACUGGAAUGUGUUGGGUGAAGCCAAUGUUGGCAAUUCUCUAUUUUAUAUUAUAUCCAAUUUAUACAGGGCACUAGGUGGCUCAGUGGGUAAGGCGCUGAGCUUGUGGAUUGAAAGGUCGGCAGUUUAGUGGUUCGAAUCCCUAGCGCCGUGUAACGGAGUGAGCUCCCGUGACUUGUCCCAGCUUCUGCCAACCAAGCAGUUCGAAAGCACGUAAAAAUGCAAGUAGAAAAAUAGGGACCACCUUUGGUGGGAAGGGAACAGCGUUCCGUGUGCCUUUGGCGUUGAGUCACGCCGGCCACAUGACCACGGAGACGUCUUCGGACAGCGCUGGCUCUUCGGCUUUGAAACGGAGAUGAGCACCGCCCCCUAGAGUCAGGAACGACAGCACAUAUGUGUGAGGGGAACCUUGACCUUUUAUCUUUAGAGGGCACCAGAGAGAUUGUAGGCUCAUAUCAUUCGUAAUUCCAACAUAAACCAACACUGAUUUUUCUCUGCUUAGACCCACAACUUUAGAGGGGCUGCUUUUCUGACUACCUGAAGAGAAUGUUUGCACAGUGUGGUUAAUCAGCUAGGAAAGAUUUGGGAGAUUCCAGCUGAUAACGCGUUAACCUCAUUAGUUUUUAUCUGGGUUUUGUGUGUGGUUUAGACGUGUAUGCUAAUCCAGCCUUUUUUAAUUAGAUUGUGAUUCAUUGCAUUUUGGAAUUCCAGAAAGUGGGUUAACUCAUCCGUUUGGAUUAAACCUGGAGGCUCCUUGGAGCAACUAUGACAUAGAAAAUGCUGGAUUUUUUUUUUUUAAGGGAGUCUUAGUUAUAAGCUUUCUGUUUUUGUUGUGGGUUUUUUUUUUCGUAUGCAAAUCAGGACUGCAAUUAUUUGAAUUUCUUUUUAUAUAUUUUUUUUUCUUGCUGUUCCUUGUUUAAUAUAAUAUAACAACAGAGUUGGAAGGGACCUUGGAGGCCUUCUAGUCCAUCCCCCUGCCCAGGCAGGAAACCCUACACCAUCUCUGUCAGAUUACAUUGCACCUCCUGGGCCUGAUGGGGUUCACGUGCCCCUUGUGAUAUUUUGAAAAUAAAAUACUGUAUUAAUUUGAAAGUUUUGUUUGCUGGAAGGUCUUCGUUUUCAGUGACAGGUCGAGUGAUGUUAUACCCACACGCUUGCAAACUUCUGAAGUUCUUGGUGUGUGUGUGUCAGUGGUGAAAUUCAAUAUUUUUUUACUACCGGUUCUGUGGGCGUGGCUUGGUGGGUGUGGCUUAGUGUGGCUUGGUGGGUGUGGCUUAGUGGGCAUCGCAGGGGAAGGAUACUGCCUCCCCACUCCAGGGGGAAGGAUACUGCAAAAUCCCAUUCCCUCCCCACUCCAGGGUAAGGAUACUGCAAAAUCCCCAUUCUCUCCCCAUUUCAGGGGGAAGGAUACUUCAAAAUCCGCAUUCCCUCCCCACUCCAGGGGGAAGAAUACUGCAAAAUCCCCAUUCCCUCCCCACUCCAGGGUAAGGAUACUGCAAAAUCCCCAUUCCCUCCCCACUCCAGGGUAAGGAUACUGCAAAAUCCCCAUUCCCUCCCCAUUUCAGGGGGAAAGAUACUGCAAAAUCCGCAUUCCCUCCCCACUCCAGGGGGAAGGAUACUGCAAAAUCCCCAUUCCCUCCCCACUCCAGGGGGAAGGAUACUGCAAAAUCCCCAUUCCCUCCCCAGUCCAGGGGGAAGGAUAUUGCAAAAAUCCCCAUUCCCUCCCCAGUCCAGGGGGAAGAAUAUUGCAAAAAUCUCCAUUCCCACCCCACUCUGGGGCCAGCCAGAAGUGGUAUUUGCUAGUUCUCUGAACUACUCAAACUUUCCGCUACCUGUUCUCCAGAACCUGCUGAAUAGCACCCCUGGAAUAAAUGCAAGGACUUGGGGAUCGUUUAACUAGCUGGACCACCUAAUCCACUAAACAAGAAGGGCUAAACAUACAACAAUCACAUUAGAUACAUUUUCAGAAAUGAUGUGCUUUGGCUGUAGCUUGUUUUAACAGCCCAAGAUUAAGCUAGCUUCCUCUGAAACACAGAGGAACAAGCUCCCAUCAUCCUUAUCCAGCUGGGCCAUUAAUGGGAGUUGCAGUCCAGUCAGUGGUGGGAUUCAGCCGGUUCACAUCUAUUCAGGAAAACCGGUUGUUAACCUUCUAAGCAGUUCGGAGAACCGGUUGUUGGAAGAAAUCUUAUUUUGGUUUCCCCCCCCCCCAACUUUACAGGGCUAAUCCUGUAAGGAAGGAAACAUUCUGAUGGUGUUUCUAGCCUAAUCUUUAUUGCCCUGCUUGCAGAAACUGCCUCUCUGGUUAACCCCCGUUACAUUGUAACAGCUAAGGCGAAGCGCCCAUCGAUGUGACUGACGUUGAGUUGGCCACGCCCACACGGUCACAUGACCACCGAGCCACACCUACCCAGCUGAUCAUCGGGGCAGAGAACCAGCUGUUAAAUUACUUGAAUCCCACCACUGAGUCCAGUAACAUGUGAAGGGGGGCCCCAGAUAAAGGAAGCACGUUGUCAAAAAUGUGAAUAAUGACAAUAAUGAAAAUGGCAGCGAACACAAUAAUAAACACCCCCCCCCCCAAAAAAAGAUGGGCUGGAACUGGACUCCGGUGGUUUCCUGUGGCCCCAGCUGACAAAACAAAGAUUAUCCCUCUACUUGUUUGGCAUCAUCUUCUGGCUAACAUUCCCUUUUUCUCUUUUUCUUCAGAACAUAUUCCAGCUCCCAUUAAUAAAUUUAGCUAUCCGAAAAUCAUUAUCCAAGCAGGCGGGAACGGUCUCCCAGGAAGGGCCCUCUAGGGAGUUGGGAGGCGUUGCAAGCAAAGCCCGAACACUUUGCAAACGUCCAAAAUCAAAGGCAGAAUUUUAAACAGAUAAAAAGUUGCACAUCGCGAGAAAACGGUGCCUCCGUUUGAACCCAGCGCCAAUAUUUUCUCCAAAGACGUGAGGCUUGAUUUAAACAAGAAAACUGCACUGGGGGGGGGAAAUAAUAAUCUUGUUUUAAUUGUUUAGUCAUCUGGGAUAGCUUUGCAAGGGUAUUGACAAAUUGGCUGGCUUGAUGGCUGACAGAUAUCCCCAAACUGUUUUAAGGGCCUCUGUGGCUCAAACUGGUAAGACAGUCUGUUAUUAACAGCAGCUGCUUGCAAUUACUGCAGGUUCAAGCCCCACCAGGCCCAAGGUUGACUCAGCCUUCCAUCCUUUAUAAGGUAGGUAAAAUGAGGACCCAGAUUGUUGGGGGCAAUAAGUUGACUUUGUAGAUAAUAUACAAAUGGAUGAAGACUAUUGCUUAACACAGUGUAAGCCGCCCUGAGUCUUCGGAGAAGGGCGGGAUAUAAAUGCAAAUAAAAUAAAAAAAGGGCUCUGUAGAGUGUAAACACCUGAGAGCAUGGGGGCGGGGGAAUGGCCUCUGUGUUACUUUUAUCACAGAACUGCAAAUAAACCGAUAAUUUGCACAGAGAAAUGGGAAUUUUUUUCUUCGGGCACCCAAAGCAGAAGAUGCAGCUGUGUAGGCAACAUACUUUAGACUAACAUAACAUAACAUAACAUCAGAGUUGGAAGGGACCUUGGAGGCCUUCUAGUCCAACCCCCUGCCCAGGCAGGAAACCCUACACCAUCUCAGUCAGAUGGUUAUCCAACAUUUUCUUAAAAAUUUCCAGUGUUGGAGCAUUCACAACUUCUGAAGGCAAGUCGUUCCACUUAUUAAUUGUUCUAACUGUCAGGAAACUUCCCUCCAUUCCCUCUCUCCACUAGACCUGAUGGAAACUGCUGUCCCAAAUAGAAUAGAGUUGGAAGGGACCUUAGAGGUCUUCUAGUCCAACCCCCUGCAGGAAAUCCUACACCACUUCAGACAAAUGGUUAUCCAACCUCUUCUGAAAAACCUCCAGUUUUGGAGCUUUCACAACAUCUGGAGGCAAGUUAUUCCACUGAUUCAACUGUCAGGAAAUUUCUCCUUAGUUCUAAGUUGCUUCUCUCCUUGGUUAGUUUCCACCCAUUGCUUCUUGUUCUGCCCUCAGGUGCUUUGGAGAAUAUCUUGACUCGCUCUUCAUUGGGGCAGCCCCUGAGAUAUUGGAAGACUGCUAUCCUGUCUCCCCUAGUCCUUCUUUUCAUUAAACUAGACAUACCCAGUUCCUGCAACUGUUCUUCAUAUGUUUUAGCCUCCAGUCCCCUAAUCCUCUUUGUUGUUCUUCUCUGCACUUUUUCUAGAGUCUCCACAUCUUUUUUACAUCGUGGCGACCAAAACUGGAUGCAGGAUUCCAAGUGUGGCCUUACCAAGGCAUUAUAAAGUGGUCUUAACACUUGACGUGAUCUGGAUUCUAUCCCUCUGUUUAUGCAGCCCAGAACUGUGUUGGCUUUUUUGGCAGCUGCUGCACACUGCUGGCUCAUAUCUAAAUGGUUAUCCACUAGGACUCCAAGAUCCCUCUCACAGGUCUUGUCAGAGUCGGCGGAAUUCUAAGUUUUCUAAUCCCAGGAUUACCUUUGGUGGGAAGGUAACAGUGUUCCGUGCAUCUUUGGCGUUGAGUCAUGCCGGCCACAUGAUCCCGGAGACGUCUUUGGACAGCACUGGCUCUUCGGCUUUGAAACGGAGAUGAGCACCGCCCCCUAGAGUCGGGAACGACUAGCACAGAUGUGCAAGGGGACCCUUUACCUUUAUGAGUCAGCUGGCCACUGAUCCAUGUUGCAUGGUUUCACAUCCUGUGCUUAACCACGGCUUGUUCUGCUCCUAAUCUACUGCGCAGGCCGUAGUGGCUUGAUUCACACAAUCCACUAAGUUCUUAACCGCGACUUACAGAUCUUAAAGGUGGUUAUCUCGAGCAUGCCGAGCCCAGGAACCACAGAACCAUCGGCAACAUCAGUUCUGGCUGCCUGUUAAAUUCCUUAUGAAUGGUGGAUGGUGUGUUGAAUCGCCUGCAGAUCCAAGAAUAACAGGCUGGGGGAAAUCUGGAGAGUCGCAGAAGUCCUAUCAAUUAUUUAGGCAGGAGGGGUGGAAAUUAAGGCCAGAUGUCUGAAAAACAACGAUUGCAUGCCGCUACAAGAAAUCCUCAAAAGAAGAUUUGAAGGUUUAUAUUUAUCUCUGGUGCUGGAGAAGACUCCUGCGAGUCCCUUGGACUGCAAGGCCAUCCAACCGGUUGGUCUUAGAGGAGAUCAACCCUGACUACUCUUUAGAAGGCCAGAUCCUGAAGGUGAAACUCAAAUCCUUUGGCUGCCUAAUGAGAAGGAAGGACUCACAGGAGAAGAGCCGAAUGCUGGGAACGAUGGAGGGCAAAAGAAGAAGGGGACGACAGAGAAGGAGGUGGCUGGAUGGAGUCCCUGAAGCAGUCGGUGUGAGCUUAAAUGGACUCCAGAGGAUGGUAGAGGACAGGAAGGCCUGGAGGAACAUUGUCCAUGGGGUCGCGAUGGGUCGGACGCAGCUCAAAUGGACAGAGCACUACAUGGAAAAGGCCAGAACUGGGAAAGGAACAACUUUAUGCUGGAAGAGUGAAUGGGUGCUUCCACGUUUUAACCAUCGGUGUUAUCCCCAUCAAGGAAGCUUACUCUGCACUUACGUCCUUGUCCUGUCAGGAGCCCUCAAAUUUGAUAUCACGUGCAAAAAACACAGCUUGUGUUGUGGCAUAGGACCGGGAUAUCUUUGGGACCGCCUUCUGUUACCACAUGCCUCCCACCGGCCGGUACGCUCCCAUAGAGAGGGCCUCCUCAGGGUGCCGUCAGCCAAACAGUGUAGGCUGGCGACCCCCAGGGGGAGAGCCUUUUCUGUGGGGGCACCUACCCUCUGGAAUGAGCUUCCCCCAGGACUUCGACAACUUCCUGACCUCCGGACCUUUCGCCGCGAGCUUAAAACAUAUCUAUUCUUCCGAGCAGGACUGGCUUAAUAGGGUUUUUAAACAUGGAUUUUAUUGGGGUUUAUUUUAUAUUUUGUAUUGUAUUUUAAAUUUAGGCUUUUGGAAUAAGUUUUUUAAAUAGUGUUUUUAUUGAAAUGUAUUGUAUUAUUUUAUCUGCCUGUUCACCGCCCUGAGUCCUUCGGGAGAAGGGCGGUAUAAAAAUUAAAUUAUUAUUUUUAUUAUUAUUAUUAUUGUAUCAUUAAGUGUUAAAUUGUACCCUAUGACCAUCAUUUGUGUUGUAAAUGUUGUACCUUGAUGAAGGUAUCUUUUCUUUUUAUGUACACUAAGAGCAUAUACACCAAGACAAAUUCCUUGUAUGUCCAAUCACACUUGGCCAAUAAAAUUCAAUUCAAUUCAAUUCAAUUCUAUUCUAUUCUAUUCU